ACUCAAAUGAAUAGACGGGGGCCCGCACAAGCGGCGGAGCAUGUGGCUUAAUUCGACGCAACGCGAAGAACCUUACCAGGGCUUGACAUGCGGGGUAAAGCCGGUGAAAGCCGGUGCUCCUUCGGGAGCCCGUACAGGUGCUGCAUGGCUGUCGUCAGCUCGUGCCGUGAGGUGUUGCCUUAAGUGGCGCAACGAGCGCAACCCCUGUUCCUAGUUGCCAGCGGGUAAAGCCGGGGACUCUAGGGAGACUGCCGGUGCCAAACCGGAGGAAGGUGGGGAUGACGUCAAGUCAGCAUGGCCCUUACGCCCUGGGCUGCACACAUGCUACAAUGCGAGGUACAGAGGGCUGCGAACCCGCAAGGGGGAGCGAAUCCCAAAAAGCCUCGCUCAGUUCGGAUCGGGGUCUGCAACUCGACCUCGUGAAGUCGGAGUCGCUAGUAAUCGCGGAUCAGCAAUGCCGCGGUGAAUACGUUCCCGGGCCUUGCACACACCGCCCGU
rnacentral:rRNA from 1 species